rnacentral:lncRNA from 1 species
GUGUGAUAGCAAAUGUGGCUUCUGCACCAGACACGUGCCAACUGCCAUCCAGAUACCAGGCCCCGGGCUGCCAGGAUGGAGACUGUCACUUCCCUUGGCAAGGGACCCACUGCCGGGUGGGCAGGGUAUUAAGACUCAGUGGACUUCUGAAACAAUCACCACCCUAGCCUAUGGCCUGUUUACAGUCUUUAGUUUGGGACAGGCCACAGCCUGAUGCCAAGCAUGUGGUAAAGCAGUCUCGAUGCCACCUGUCCUGAAGGCUGUUCCAUCGUAAGAGCCCUGGAGGAGCCGCCACCCUCAGUCCCACACCAUCUCCUGGACCCACUCCAAGCUGUUUUCAGAAGCACGUCCUACUCAAUCAGAAACUCAAAAGUCCGGAGUGUGAUCCCGCUCUACCCCCGACUCUCCUCCCUGCAGCACCGAGAAGGACCAUCGCAAGGGUGAGGCACAUGGGAAUACAAAGAACCAGUAUGGAAGCGCUGGACAUGUCAUUUGUGACUCAUUCUUUUAAUUCACCGUGCUAAUCAACUGAACCGCCACAGCCUCCCAAGGUGAGAAGCCCCACAAAGGGAGAGAGGUACCGAAGGUCACACAGCCACGGGGGCUGCCCCAUCCACGGCUUCAUACGCCAUCUCAAACAAAGAUGUGGAAACUGCAUAUCCAGCUAAACCCACAGGCCAAGGGGGCUUUGUCUGUCUUUCCACAGACCCCUGCCCUCUCUGUACAGUCCUCCCGUGCCCUCAUGAGCACCUCCUGGUGGGGAGGAGGCCUCUACCGCUUUCCCGCAGAAGCUGGAGCUGUGAACUCACCGGUGUAGACAAAGCGCCCAGGAGCACCUUUGCAGAACUGCUUGGAUUUGUAGGAGAGGGUCACUUCGACGACGCCAGGAAUGUGCCUCGGCGGGGUCUGGACUCGGAUGGCAUGGGGAGUUAUCAGCUACAAAAACCACACGGUGAACAGGCGCUCAGCGGCGCUGGCUAUGAGAGGCGGACACUUGCCAGUUGGAUAUAAUUACCAAAAUGAGCACAAAUUGGACCAUCGUCUUGGAAUGCC